rnacentral:tRNA from 1 species
GGCCAGUUAGGUCAAUCGAUUGAGCAUGGUGCUGAUAACACCAAGGUCACAGGUUCGAUUCCCGUUUGGUCC